CACAUGCAAGUCGAACGGAGCUGAGAGGAGCUUGCUUUUCUUAGCUUAGUGGCGAACGGGUGAGUAACGCGUGAGUAACCUGCCCUGGAGUGGGGGACAACAGUUGGAAACGACUGCUAAUACCGCAUAAGCCCACGGAUCCGCAUGGAUCUGCGGGAAAAGGAUUUAUUCGCUUCAGGAUGGACUCGCGUCCAAUUAGCUAGUUGGUGAGGUAACGGCCCACCAAGGCGACGAUUGGUAGCCGGACUGAGAGGUUGAACGGCCACAUUGGGACCGAGACACGGCCCAGACUCCUACGGGAGGCAGCAGUGGGGGAUAUUGCACAAUGGGGGAAACCCUGAUGCAGCGACGCCGCGUGGAGGAAGAAGGUUUUCGGAUUGUAAACUCCUGUCGUUAGGGACGAUAAUGACGGUACCUAACAAGAAAGCACCGGCUAACUACGUGCCAGCAGCCGCGGUAAAACGUAGGGUGCAAGCGUUGUCCGGAAUUACUGGGUGUAAAGGGAGCGCAGGCGGACCGGCAAGUUGGAAGUGAAAACUAUGGGCUCAACCCAUAAAUUGCUUUCAAAACUGCUGGCCUUGAGUAGUGCAGAGGUAGGUGGAAUUCCCGGUGUAGCGGUGGAAUGCGUAGAUAUCGGGAGGAACACCAGUGGCGAAGGCGACCUACUGGGCACCAACUGACGCUGAGGCUCGAAAGCAUGGGUAGCAAACAGGAUUAGAUACCCUGGUAGUCCAUGCCGUAAACGAUGAUUACUAGGUGUUGGAGGAUUGACCCCUUCAGUGCCGCAGUUAACACAAUAAGUAAUCCACCUGGGGAGUACGACCGCAAGGUUGAAACUCAAAGGAAUUGACGGGGGCCCGCACAAGCAGUGGAGUAUGUGGUUUAAUUCGAAGCAACGCGAA
rnacentral:rRNA from 1 species